ensembl:lncRNA
AAAACAAAACAUUUCUUAAUGUCUGUAGUCAUCUUGGUCCGUGUUACCUGAAAAAAGCCACUCGUGCACGUGAUGACAUUGCUAUCUUUUAUUGAAUAGAAAAAUAUCAGUAUUCUAGUUUUUAAAACACUUACAAACCAUUUCUGGGCAUGAAAAUAAAUGGACUACAUGCUAUCAGAUCCUUUAACAUCUUUUCAUCUGUGGGAACCAAACAUGGUGACGGUAGACCUUUUGUAGGUUCAGAUUUCGUACUUCCUUAUUGCUUGCAGCGUGCUGCACCAGUCUUUCAAAUAGCUGGCUGAUAAUUGAAUAUCUCAGUGAGAAAACGUUAUCAAAUUAAUAGGUCAUUCAAGAAACAGGAAAAACCAUUUCAAAAGACUUGAAUCUGAUAAAAUAUGAGUUUUGAAUGGUAUCACAGCUGCCUGACCUCAUGGAACGUUAGCCUGGUCCUUUAUGUUAAGCUUAUACACCAAUUCCCAACCUCUGUAAAAGAAAAUAGCUGUUAAAGUAGAAUAUGAUGAUGAAAUGCAAUGCUUAAAAUGAAGUCAAAAGAUUCAUACAGCUACAUAUAUUAGCACUUUACUAUUUAUUUCCUUACAUGUCUUGUAAUGUAAAUAUACUUCUGCAUUGUACUAGUAUUUAACUGCUGCAUUAAUCAUAAAUGUGGGCCCUCCACAUGUCCUCAGAGAAAGCUGAAAUGUAAUAGGAGACAACUGGCCUAAUGUUUCUGCCAACCAGUGCCAAAGGCCAAAUCUUUCUCUGGUGUAAAUCUAAAUAAAUUAAACACUCUCAAUUUAACCCACCUGGUAAUCUGUGUAACUGCUUCUCCCUUAAACAGUCCACCCAACAUUUCAGCAUUUACCACAGCUGAAAAGGGGCUUGGUGUUUUGCAUCAGUUUGUAACAAGCCUGUUGCUUUUGAGGGCAUUCAUCAGUAGAGGAAAAUUUAUAUAUGUCGUCCUGCUGCUGCACACCCAGGACUCCAGUGAGACACGUGAGCCUUGCACAGGAGAGAAGAGCUGUCCUCCUCACCCCCCAGCAUCGCUCCUUUUGAAGGGUUGCCUUUUCUCAGCUGUGUGUUUCCUUGUGCUCCUUGGUUUUCCUCUACUGUCCAGUCAUGAUAAAAGAUGGGCAUUUGGCACUCUUGUAACAAAUUUUGCUUUCUUGGCACAUGUAUGCUUACAUCUCCACAUAUUCGAUAUCUUUAAAAUCCUGAUGCUACAUUAUGAACUGAGCUUUUGAGGAUUUCUGUCCAAUACCUUUAGAAAAACAACUGUAGUAGUACCAUUGGACCAGAGUCAAAAUUUUCCCUUUCCAGCCUUGAGGUCUUCUUUUUAAAUCCCUAAUAUUCUCCUGGAAUUCCUCUGGCCAUCCAAGGAAAGCAUUCUGCAUGGCUUCUUACAGACAAAGUCAGAGGUGUUUCGGGGACAGCAUGACUUCACGAUAGAAGAUGGCAUGGUCACAGAUGUACCGGCCCUUCAUCUCUGGGAUGGCAAUUCACAUCUGAACAGAGGUGAUUAGACAAAAUUAGCGCACUUAUUCCCUCUUUAUCUUCAGUGGACAUGAAACCAGACCACAAAACAACUAUAGAUUGUCUUGCAACUGGCAGGCUCUGGUCAUGAGAAAGCCAGAGCUAGAGAGAGCAGAAGGCUGGGGCUGAUGAAGAAAGGCAGAGCUUACGCACACCAAAAAUCUCACUCAGCCUUGACCAAGCCAUUUGGUGGAGACUGCAUUUUAUUGCCUUGCUUUCAUAACCAUAGAUGUUUUCAGAUCUAUUGAAUCCGAUAAAGAUUCCUCUGUGGUGAUGGGCAACCAGGGGUCAGUGUCACGAAGAAUGGAAAGGAGCAGUAUAAUUGGUCUUGGGAGCAAUGGAAACCACCUCCUAAUGAUCCACUCCUGGGAUGUGUCAUAUUCUGAAAGCUAAAUAUCUCUGCAGAAUUGAUCGUGCAGAUUUUAAUGUUUUACCUGUUUCCAUCAGUAUAUAUGUAUUCCUCUCUCCUUCAAUUUUUUUCACCUAUUUGCUAUGAAUGUUGCCUCAAGUAUUAUUUUAGUUGUCUCACUAUGUACUGCUUAGACUUCCAGAACCAAAUUUGAAAGCUAAUUAGGUAUGGAAGGAUGUAGGCUAAAAUCCUAUAUGAAAGCCAGAUCUUUCAUUAAUGAUGACACAGAACGAUAGAAUAAAUGGACUCAGGAAGCUUGCA